CCUAAUAGUCCAUAUCUCUUAUCUUCUUUUGUGCCCCAAAAGUCUUCUCCUUAUCUCAUCUUCUUGACUGCACCAAACAGAAAGUCCAGCCCUCUUUCUCUACUCCUUUUUCUUUGUUUUUGUUUUUCUUCUCUCUUUGCUCUUACACGGCAGCCUUCCCUCUCUCACCAAAACAAAAUAUCCCUCUCUAAAGAAGAAAUUAAAGGGUUAACACUAAAAUUUCAUUUUCAAAUUGUUGGGGGUGGCAAGAACGAGAACACGGACACUUGAGCUCCUCUUGUACAAUUUCUCGCGCCUUUUGUUUUCAGGUUCUUCCUAGAAGCAGCGAGAGUAUUAGAGGUGGCAAGGAUUCUGUGUUUUCUCGUUUGUUAAAAUGUAGAGUUUUGUUGUAUAGCUGUUAGCUCUUUUGUUGUAUAGAAGGAAUCAAGAUGUACUUGAUCCUUUGAGCACAAAUGUAAUUCAGUAUCUUAGUUUGUUUUGAACCCCAGUUGUAUGUCUUUGGGGUUAGGUUUGUAAUAAAAGUUUUGCUAAAUGUUUAGCUAUGUAAUAUUUACACGAAUACCUUAAGUUUCAGCCAGGUGGUAAUUUUCCAAGUUCAAAGGAAAUCAAAUUUCAAGGUUUCUAUCA